AUGGAGAAAUCAAUUACUUCAGACAGACUGCUUGGAUCUGGGCUGAGGUAGUUGUUUGUACAGUU
rnacentral:pre_miRNA from 1 species